CAGAGUUAUGGAUCUGGUUAUGGUGGAAGGACGGAGACUGAAUCGGAGUAUGGAUCUGGUGGUGGUGGAAGAACUGAGGUUGAGUAUGGUAGGAGACCUGAAUCAGGGCUUGGAUCUGGUUAUGGUGGGAGAUCGGAGUCUGAGUAUGAGCGUAAGCCUAGCUAUGGAAGGUCUGAGGAACAAGAAGAAGGUUAUAGGAAGCCUAGCUAUGGAAGAUCUGAAGAACAAGAGGAAGGUUACAGGAAGCCAAGUUAUGGAAGAUCUGAGGAGCAGGAAGAAGGAUAUAGAAAGCCUAGCUAUGGAAGAUCUGAGGAGGAACAAGAGGAAGGUUAUAGGAAGCCUAGCUAUGGAAGAUCUGAGGAACAAGAGGAAGGAAGUUACAGGAAACCUAGUUAUGGGAGGUCUGAUGAUCAGGUGGAGAGUUACAUUAAGCCUAGCUAUGGAAGAUCUGAGGAACAGGAGGAGGGAAGUUACAGGAAGCCUAGUUAUGGGAGGUCUGAGGAACAGGAAGAGGGGAGUUACAGGAAGCAGCCUAGCUAUGGCCGUGGCAAUGACGAUGAUGAUGAU
rnacentral:lncRNA from 1 species